AGUGAACGCUGGCGGUAGGCCUAACACAUGCAAGUCGAACGGCAGCACAGUAAGAGCUUGCUCUUACGGGUGGCGAGUGGCGGACGGGUGAGGAAUACAUCGGAAUCUACUUUUUCGUGGGGGAUAACGUAGGGAAACUUACGCUAAUACCGCAUACGACCUACGGGUGAAAGCAGAGGAUCUUCGGACCUUGCGCGAUUGAAUGAGCCGAUGUCGGAUUAGCUAGUUGGCGGGGUAAAGGCCCACCAAGGCGACGAUCCGUAGCUGGUCUGAGAGGAUGAUCAGCCACACUGGAACUGAGACACGGUCCAGACUCCUACGGGAGGCAGCAGUGGGGAAUAUUGGACAAUGGGCGCAAGCCUGAUCCAGCCAUACCGCGUGGGUGAAGAAGGCCUUCGGGUUGUAAAGCCCUUUUGUUGGGAAAGAAAAGCAGCAGGUUAAUACCGCGCUGUUCUGACGGUACCCAAAGAAUAAGCACCGGCUAACUUCGUG
rnacentral:rRNA from 1 species